rnacentral:rRNA from 1 species
CUUUGGCCUCAAAUCAGGUAGGACUACCCGCUGAACUUAAGCAUAUCAAUAAGCGGAGGAAAAGAAACUAACAAGGAUUCCCCUAGUAACGGCGAGUGAAGAGGGAAGAGCUCAAAUUUGAAAUCUGGCGGUCUACGGCCGUCCGAGUUGUAAUCUAGAGAGGUGUUUUCCGUGCCGGACCGUGUACAAGUCCCUUGGAACAGGGCGUCAUAGAGGGUGAGAAUCCCGUCCAUGACACGGACUACCGGUGCUCUGUGAUACACCUUCAAAGAGUCGAGUUGUUUGGGAAUGCAGCUCAAAACGGGUGGUAAAUUCCAUCUAAAGCUAAAUACAGGCGAGAGACCGAUAGCGAACAAGUACCGUGAGGGAAAGAUGAAAAGAACUUUGGAAAGAGAGUUAAACAGUACGUGAAAUUGUUGAAAGGGAAACGCUUGAAGUCAGUCGCGUUUGCCAGGACUCAGCCUUGCUUCUGCUUGGUGCACUUCCUGGUAGAUGGGCCAGCAUCAAUUUUGGCCGCCGGAAAAGGGCGGGAGGAAUGUGGCAGCUUGCUGUGUUAUAGCCUCUCGUCGUACACGGUGGUUGGGAUUGAGGAUUGCAGCACGCCUUUUGGUCGGGGUUCGCCCACGCCACGUGCUUAGGAUGCUGGCGUAAUGGCUUUAAACGACCCGUCUUGAAACACCGACCA